GGGAAUAUUGCACAAUGGGCGAAAGCCUGAUGCAGCAACGCCGCGUGAAGGAAGACGGUUUUCGGAUUGUAAACUUCUAUCAAUAGGGAAGAAAGAAAUGACGGUACCUAAAUAAGAAGCCCCGGCUAACUACGUUCCAGCAGCCGCGGUAAUACGUAGGGGGCAAGCGUUAUCCGGAAUUACUGGGUGUAAAGGGCGUGUAGCCGGGUUGACAAGUCAGAUGUGAAAUCCUGCGGCUUAACCGCAGAACUGCAUUUGAAACUGUUGAUCUUGAGUACUGGAGAGGCAGACGGAAUUCCUAGUGUAGCGGUGAAAUGCGUAGAUAUUAGGAGGAACACCAGUGGCGAAGGCGGUCUGCUGGACAGCAACUGACGGUGAGGCGCGAAAGCGUGGGGAGCAAACAGG
rnacentral:rRNA from 1 species